rnacentral:rRNA from 1 species
AGUGAACGCUGGCGGUAGGCCUAACACAUGCAAGUCGAACGGCAGCACAGUAAGAGCUUGCUCUUACGGGUGGCGAGUGGCGGACGGGCGAGGAAUACAUCGGAACCUACUUUUUCGUGGGGGAUAACGUAGGGAAACUUACGCUAAUACCGCAUACGACCUACGGGUGAAAGCAGCCGAUCUUCGGACCUUGCGCGAUUGAAUGAGCCGAUGUCGGAUUGGCUAGUUGGCGGGGUAAAGGCCCACCAAGGCGACGCUCCGUAGCUGGUCUGAGAGGGUGAUCAGCCAGACUGGAACAGAGACAGGGUCGAGACUCCUACAGGAGGCAGCAGUGGGGAAUAUUGGGCAAUGGGGGCGAGGCUGAUCCAGCCAUACCGCGUGGGUGAAGAAGGCCUUCGGGUUGUAAAGCCCUUUUGUUGGGAAAGAAAAGCAGCAGGUUGAUACCCCGCUGUUCUGACGGUACCCAAAGAAUAAGCACCGGCUAACUUCGUG